rnacentral:rRNA from 1 species
CUUGGUCAUUUAGAGGAAGUAAAAGUCGUAACAAGGUUUCCGUAGGUGAACCUGCGGAAGGAUCAUUAAUGAUUGGUGGCUGUUGCUGACUAGUGUUUCUAGUAUGUGCACGCCACACCUUCAAUCCCACUUACACCUGUGCACCUUCUGUAAUAGAUCUAUGUGGAUACGGAGGUGAAAGUUUGCGCUCUCCUACUCUGUUGAAGCACAGUCUACUACGUUUUUUUUUACACACACACACAAUAGUCAUUGAAUGUAUUUUUAUGAUAAAAACAACUUUCAACAACGGAUCUCUUGGCUCUCGCAUCGAUGAAGAACGCAGCGAAAUGCGAUACGUAAUGUGAAUUGCAGAAUUCAGUGAAUCAUCGAAUCUUUGAACGCACAUUGCGCUCUCUGGUAUUCCGGAGAGCGUGCUUGUUUGAGUAUCAGUAAACACCUCAACUCCUUUAUUGUAGUUGGACUUGAGCUAUCCCAACAGGACUUUUGUUCCUGGCGGGAGGCUUGAAAUGCAGGUGCAGCUGGACUUUCUUCUGAGCUAUAAGCAUAUUUAUUUAAUCCCUUAACACGGAUUAUUACUUUUUUGCUGCAGCUAACAUAAAGGUUGAAUUUCCAUUGAGCUGACUGAUGCAGGAAUUUGGCAAGGAAUUUUUUUAAUGACUUGUUAAACUCGAUCUCAAAUCAAGUAAGACUACCCGCUGAACUUAAGCAUAUCAAUAAGCGGAGGA